GACUAACGCUGGCGGCAUGCAUCAUACAUGCAAGUCGAACGGAUUAGGUUGUAGCAAUACGAUCUAGUUAGUGGCGAACGGGUGAGUAACACGUAGGUAACCUGCCCUUGAGACCGGGAUAACGAUGCCGAAAGGCGUGCUAAUACCGGAUGUGACCACGGCCUCGCAUGGGGUUGGGUAAAAGGAAUGGCAGCAAUGCUAUCGCUUGAGGUAUGGGGCCUGCGGGCUAUCAGCUAGUUGGUGGGUAACGGCCUACCAAGGCUAUGACGGCUAGCCGGCUUGAGAGAGUGAACGGCCACACUGGAACUGA
rnacentral:rRNA from 1 species